UGCGGAAUUUUAGAUAAUGGAGGGAACUCUGAUCUAGCGACGCCGCGUGCAGGAAGAAGGUCUUCGGAUUGUAAACUGCUGUGGUAAGGGAAAAAUGCUAUGUAGAGUGGAAAGCUACAUAGAGGGAUGGUACCUUACUAGAAAGCCCCGGCUAACUACGUGCCAGCAGCCGCGGUAAUACGUAGGGGGCGAGCGUUACCCGGAAUCACUGGGCGUAAAGGGAGCGUAGGUGGCCUAACAUGUCAACUGUGAAAACCCGGAGCUCAAACCCGGACUUGCAGUUGAAACUGGUAGGCUUGAAGACGGUAGAGGAAGACGGAACUGCCAGUGUAGGGGUAAAAUCCUUAGAUAUUGGCAGGAACGCCGGUGACGAAGGUGGUUUUCUGGGCCGGUUCUGACACUGAUGCUCGAAAGCCAGGG
rnacentral:rRNA from 1 species